rnacentral:sRNA from 1 species
GACUUUGAGUGGACAUUGGUGGCACCACGGUGCCAGAAUUGAUGGUGUUUUGUGUUGGAUGCUUUCUUACUGCCUGCUUAGCGACACAACUAUCUUGUGAUUUGCUGCUGGGGAAAACUCCCCGCCAGGUAGUAUCCUGUGCGAUGUUGUUAUUGGCGCCCUAUAAGCGCCUGACAUUCAGAGUGCUUUUUUCAGCUAUGCUGCGCCUUAUGCGUGGUUAUUGUUUAUGUUGGAGUAGAUAUGCUAAAGAUACUCUCGACCAGAGCGGCCGACCAAUGUCGAAACCAUUCUCACACCUCG